GGAGAAUGUGGGAGUUAGGAGAACUUCCUGGAAGGCAAAUCUUAAAGACCAGUAGUCACGGAAUGAAGAAGGAGUUCUGGGAGAGGUAAAACAAAGAAGUUCUGAAGAAAAGGAUGGAUGGAUAAAUGAAGUUAUUUCUUCAUUGUUUGGACCUCAGCAAGCUCAGCAUAUUUAAUUUGAAGGAAUGAAUGGAUAAAUUCCUAUUAUUGUCCAAAUCCAAGAGAGCUGCUGGUUUCUUGGACUCCUGAGAUCCUUUGGUCAGCUCAGCUCAUUCAUUCAUUCAACUUCGAACUGAUUUUUGCUUUGUACCUUGGCAUCCUCAGUGAAUAACUAAGCCCUUGACAAUCAGAGCUUGCUUGGCUCUUGGAAGAGGAGGGGAUUCUGCUGAGCUCUGAUGGAUGGCUCAGACCUUAGCUUGGAGAGAAGAGAGGGGAUUUGUGCAAGGGAAUCUGCUUGGCUGGACAUUUCCUCCAGGACUUUCCAAUGGGCAGAC